AGGAUAAUAGUUUACUAAAACACUAAGUUUGCACUUUAAAAAUAUUGGAAUCACCAAUUUAUCUUU
rnacentral:tRNA from 1 species